UACGUAGGGUGCGAGCGUUAAUCGGAAUUACUGGGCGUAAAGUGUGCGCAGGCGGCCGCGCAAGUCGAGUGUGAAAUCCCCGGGCUUAACUUGGGAAUUGCGCUCGAAACUACGUGGCUGGAGUGUGGCAGAGGAAGGUGGAAUUCCACGUGUAGCGGUGAAAUGCGUAGAGAUGUGGAGGAACACCGAUGGCGAAGGCAGCCUUCUGGGCCAACACUGACGCUCAUGCACGAAAGCGUGGGGAGCAAACAGG
rnacentral:rRNA from 1 species